UACGUAGGGUCCGAGCGUUGUCCGGAAUUACUGGGCGUAAAGAGCUCGUAGGUGGUUUGUCGCGUUGUUCGUGAAAACUCACAGCUCAACUGUGGGCGUGCGGGCGAUACGGGCAGACUUGAGUACUGCAGGGGAGACUGGAAUUCCUGGUGUAGCGGUGGAAUGCGCAGAUAUCAGGAGGAACACCGGUGGCGAAGGCGGGUCUCUGGGCAGUAACUGACGCUGAGGAGCGAAAGCGUGGGGAUCAAACAGG
rnacentral:rRNA from 1 species